rnacentral:rRNA from 1 species
GAUGAACGCUAGCGGCAGGCUUAAUACAUGCAAGUCGAGGGGUAUAGGUUUUCGGACCUAGAGACCGGCGCACGGGUGCGUAACGCGUAUGCAAUCUCCCUUUCACAGAGGGAUAGCCCAGAGAAAUUUGGAUUAAUACCUCAUAGUAUUAUGAAGUGGCAUCAUUUUAUAAUUAAAGUUCCAACGGUAAAAGAUGAGCAUGCGUCCCAUUAGCUAGAUGGUAAGGUAACGGCUUACCAUGGCGGCGAUGGGUAGGGGACCUGAGAGGGAGAUCCCCCACACUGGUACUGAGACACGGACCAGACUCCUACGGGAGGCAGCAGUGAGGAAUAUUGGUCAAUGGACGCAAGUCUGAACCAGCCAUGCCGCGUGCAGGAUGACGGUCCUAUGGAUUGUAAACUGCUUUUGUACGAGAAGAAACACUCCUUCGUGAAGGAGCUUGACGGUAUCGUAAGAAUAAGGAUCGGCUAACUCCGUGCCAGCAGCCGCGGUAACAC